CAUAAAGUUGUUCUCAGUUCGGAUUGUAGUCUGCAACUCGACUACAUGAAGCUGGAAUCGCUAGUAAUCGUAGAUCAGCAUGCUACGGUGAAUACGUUCCCGGGUCUUGUACACACCGCCCGUCACACCACGAGAGUUUGUAACACCCGAAGCCGGUGGAGUAACCUUUUAGGAGCUAGCCGUCGAAGGUGGGACAAAUGAUUGGGGUGAAGUCGUAACAAGGUAGCCGUAUCGGAAGGUGCGGCUGGAUCACCUCCUUU
rnacentral:rRNA from 1 species